UUACGACCACAUCGCGUUGAAACACAGGUUCCCGUACGAUCACCGAAGUUAAGCAAAGUCGAGCCUGAUCAAUACCUAGAUAGGGGACCGCUUGAGAAUACCAGGUGCUAUA